CCUACGGGAGGCAGCAGUGGGGAAUAUUGCACAAUGGGGGAAACCCUGAUGCAGCGACGCCGCGUGAGUGAAGAAGUAUUUCGGUAUGUAAAGCUCUAUCAGCAGGGAAGAAAAUGACGGUACCUGACUAAGAAGCCCCGGCUAACUACGUGCCAGCAGCCGCGGUAAUACGUAGGGGGCAAGCGUUAUCCGGAUUUACUGGGUGUAAAGGGAGCGUAGACGGUAGAGCAGGCUGAAGUGAAAGCCCGCGGCUCAACUGCGGGAAUGCCUUGGAAACUGUUCAA
rnacentral:rRNA from 1 species